GAGGUUUUGUGUUUUUGUUUUCUUUUUUUUUUUUUGCGUUCUAUUUAUUUUUAGUUUUCAAACAUGUUUAAAAUAUUGUUUCUGUUUUGGUAGGAAGAAGGUACUUUUUCAAUAACCUACUCUCUGGGGGAACUGUGUGGCAAUGGAGUGUGUGUGUGUGUGUGUGUGUGUGUGUGUGUGUGUGUCUUUCAGAGUUCAGCAGAGACUCUGAAGCAAGGAAAGUGUUUUGUGUUCGUCCCGCUGUGGCCUUGGUCUAGUUGUAGAUUACCACAUCCUGGGUAGUUUUACACACACCAACUUCAUGUGCUGCUGAAGCCAGAGGCUGUGAAUCCGCAGAAAAAGACCUAGUUCUUUUGAGCUCUGGUGAGAGACCCGAUACCCAACCAUUUAUUCCAGCUUUUCGAAUUUGUGCUGGUUGCAGGUUCACAGAGUAUGAAGGCCUCUGGUUCUAUUCAGCUGCCUCCUCUUUCGGCUACGCUGCCUCUCCAGGCGGGAGGACUUGGGGAUCUGCAGAGAAGGGAGCCUUUGCAGGUGUAGUGCUGAAGACCCGUUUACCAGGUUUUUUAAUCUGUGGGCCUCCACUCAGUCAUCGAUGGGAGAAGAUUUCGGUUGGAGCUGCUUUGGCUUACAAAGAAAAUCGUGGCACAACUAUUGGCUAGACCACGGUCGUUAA
rnacentral:lncRNA from 1 species